CAGUUCUCUUCAUGUUGGCGCCCCACAAAAUGGCGGCUGAAGAAGCAAAGUUUAAGACAAUCAUCAUGCUAAUCCUACCUUCGUUUAAAGGUAAUACAUUUUAUUUAGCAUCAGUACUUUUAGUAGAGUACUUAGAUUGCUAAUAUAGAUAACAUUUUUGGACAUCGAGCUAGAAUUUAGAGCGAUAUUUCGGUAUAAAAUUUGUACUUUCCAUGGACCAUGUGCUUAAUGACCUUAAUCGCUAGUUCGGUAUUGUCGAAAUAAAAACGUGAUUUCGAUGAAGUCGUUGUUCAAUAGUUGUGGACCAACCUAAUAAAAAGACUUAGCAGAGUCUAAAAUUGUUUAAACCGCCGAACAAAGACUUAUUUUUGAGUUUUAUUGUGGUAUACCAAGGGGGUAUUAAAAGUUUUAUAGGACUUGAGGGCAUUUCUCACUCCAAAAACUAAGUACGCUAAGCAAAAAAAAUCCGGGAAUGAUCUGGCAAUUAGGAAAAUCCGUCAAAAUCUAAAUUUAAAAGUCUGUUCAAAUCCUUAAAUAAAAUCCACGAGAAAUCCGGAAAAAUCUCACAAAAUCUCUUUUUUUAUAACUCCAAGAAAAAAUCUGCGGAUUUUUGAACGUCUGAGAUGAAUUUCUGAGAUGUGUUCAAAAAAGUUAUUUCUGAGGGGUAAAAUGGGCAUCAGCAUCCUUUGAUCUUAAUAGGGUUUUCUCUGAGAUCUGGCAAAAAUGUACAAAUCGGGUGUAAGGCCAGCACUUUGAACUUUUUUUCUUGGGGGUUCAAAUUUUACUGAGCUCGUCCAUAUAGGGGUGGAUUUUUUUGGAAUGGCCAUUUCAGAGAAAUUGAAUGAAAAAAAUUAAAAAUGGGUCAUUCCAGAAAAGAUCCAUACCCCCCCUACGGAGGAAAUCGAAAAUAACCCCCUUCCCCCCUUCGGACAUCCUUGAAUGGUUCAUCCUCCCCCCUCUCCGGACGUCAAAGCCCAAAAUUACUCCCCUCCCCUUCGGACAUCCACUAUUUCUAAAUUUAUCUAAAGGCUACCUUGCCGUUUGAAAACGUCACCGAAAAUUAGACUACGUUCACACUACGCGCGAGCGAACUAAUGCGGGCAGAAUUUACGUGUGUUCAGACUAAGCCAUUACAGUUUGUUUACAAAUUAAAUUAGCACUCAUGUAAACCCAAAAUAUUUGAAAUUGAGCCAAGAAAUUUAGCUGAAAAGCAUUCGAGUUUACAUGUUUGUGUUCACACAAAGCUAUCAAGCGCUCCGUUUUCACCUCGUUCCAUUUAGAAACCGUGCUCAAAUUGUUACGGCAAAAGUGACGUGAAAGUUUUCAAAUGAUUUCGCUCCAAAAAAUAUAACAUGCAGGAAAAAUAUAACAUACGUACAUUCUUAACAUGCAGGAUACGCUGUUACAGCGAGUUAGUUUUUGGUGGCCAUGCAUGCAAUAGUGGGCCGCUUAUUUUGCUUACGAGUUACGUGGACAUAUAAUUAUUGCUGUUACAUAAACGUUCCGGUGUUUAAGAGCUACAUAUAGCCGAUAAAAAUUGUAUGCUCAUUAUAUAAUCGCCGAUCACAUAGCUUUAUCACAGUCUCAAACCUUCAGACAAACAUAUCCACAUUCCUCCCUCCCCCUUCGGACAGAAAAAAUUUCCUCUGUGGGAGGGGUAUGGAUCUUUUCUGGAACGACCCAAUCACAAAAGAUAGAGAAGUAACACAUUUCUAAAACAAAAAAAUCACCAAAAAUAGUGAUUUUAUGAUUUUUUUACACUCAUUAGGGCUAUUUACACGACAGUCAAUUGUGGUGCCUGUGACUGGCUCUUGAUCAUUGCAGGUUAUUGGAUUGGGCGAAGAGGUUUAACUUCGAAAAUCCACCCUAAUUCAUUAUCAACAUUUUCCUAAAUUGAAAAACUGAAAUCUAAAAUCUCCUUUAAAAUCUACUGAAAAUUUUGCAAAAAGUUCCAAAGUGCAGGGAUUUGGGAAUCCAAAAAUCCAAGCAGUUAUAAAGUCUGUGAUUUAUAUCCUCAAUAAAAAAAUUCUCUUAAAUUCUUUGUAGUUCUACAUUGCAAUUUCCAAGAAUGUUUCAAGUUGUUGCCUGAAGAUUGAUUUCUGAAAAAUGCAAAUGAAAGGUAUAUAUCAUCUUUACUCUCUAAUUUGUAGCCUUAUUUUUUUAAUCGAUUAUAACGGUUGGAAAUCGGCUAUUUGCAAAUCACUCAAUGGCCGACUAAUUUUAUUAGAUCAAAUACACAGUUUCCAUUAGGUACAUUUAAGAUUUGUACCUACUGUUGAAAAAGGGUAAAUAAAGCAACUGUGAAAGAACACAAAACAUUUUCUUGGCUUCCUUGCAACAAGCAAUAAAAUCCUGAAUAGGUUUGUGUUACCAGAAAAUUUAGGAACAUUAUUUUUUGGGAACAAGAAAGUUUUGGUUGCAUAAAUUGUUGGGUCUGCUUACCAAAACUUGUGUAACAUGAUCAUGCUGGCCAGGAAGUUGCACAAGCUGUCAAUUAAAUAUUGAAAAGCUUGUUGACCAUUUUUGGCCAAUGUUUGAGCAACUGCGCAGUUGAUUUUGACAUUUGUCAGGCCCAAAUUAAAUUGUUAUAAUCCACACUUUAGUGGAGUACACUCCACUUGAUGAAUAAAAUUAUCUGGCAUUAGACAACAAGGUUAAUUAAUCCCCAUGGCAUUAUUAAUUCCCAAGCCUCUGGCGUAAAAAAAAUACCUGUGGUUCCGGUUUCAUAUUGUGAAAAAAUUAGGGUCGGUAGGUCGGAAAUAAUUUUUUUUUUUAAAUUUUUUUUCAUGGUUUUGGCGUUUGUCUGGAGUUACUGUAAGGCGCUUUUCGGGUCCUCGCACGAAGCUCCUCGCUGCGAGUGCUUGCAUCUAAUUAAAAUUAACUGUUUUGCAUUGUGAUUGGAUGAAGGUGCUCAUGCAUCACUCGCAGCUCGCUGCGAGGAGCUUCAUGCGAGGACUGGAAAACCCCUUAAGGCAGCAUAAUAAUUAACAUUAAUCCAGGGUUCGAAAUAACGGUGAUUCACAAAUCACGAAUCAAUUUUCAUUUUUCACGAACCCAAGUUCAUAGAAAUUGAUCAAAAUCACAAAUCAAAAGUUUCUCAAAUUGAUAAAAAUAUACAAUAAUAAAUUCAGUUCUUUGUAAAUGUGAUGAAGGAUCAUAUAUUCUGAAGAUAUUGUUGUUAGAUUGUACUUAAAAACGAUUAUAAUUCCACCCAAAAUUCUAUUUUUUUUGCGAGUUUGCGAUGUAUAUUAUAUAUUUGAAAAUUGCAGUGCUUCCACUUUUUUACUUCCAAUUAGCGAAAAUUUCUUGAAAAUUCCUUAAAAUUUCCUUAAAAUAAAAAAAUAAUUCACGAACCAUUUUUUCAGAAUUAAUUCGAACCCUGUAAUCUGUUUCAUCCAGUUCUUUAUAUGGUAGUCAUCUUAAAUAAUUAUUAUUUCAAACUUCUAGAUGUAUGGUGCAAGUUCCAAGAAUGUCAAUUUUUGGUUGAAGUGUUGCAGAUCGCACAAACGUGAACACUGUUGACAGAAAGUGUAAGAAAGGUCUUAUUUUUAUGUCUUAUUUUAAUUAUAAAAUGCUUUAAACAUUAUACAAUUUUCUGUGACCAGAGGCUGUGUUUUUUUUACCGUCAUAUUCAUUAAAAAAACGACAACAAAAAUAUAAAAAUCUGAAAUGAAUUAAGUUGGUGUAAAUCCACAAUAUUCAUUGUCAAUAUUUAUAUUAUUAUACAAUUAUUUUGGUGGAUAUAAAUUUGGAUAUAGAUAAAAGUUUCAUGCUCAAUUGGUUGUUCAAGUUUUGUGUUGCCCCCAAUCACAGAAUAUCUCAAAUGUUCAAAGUAUUUUAAUUUCGGAACAAGCCAAAAAAUGAUAAACUGUUUGUGUUUUAAAAAAGUUAUGAUUUUUCCUUUUAUUUGAAUCAGUACAGACAUAAAUUGGCACAGUAGUUCAAAAAACACAUACAUGUGUAUAAAUUAUGUGUUUAUUCAAGUUAAAUAUGUUGUAUUUACAUAUUUUGAAAGAAUUUUGCAAGUAUCAUAUAAUCUGUGGCAAAAAAUACGAGUAUUCAGUUUGUCAUUAUUUGGCUUUGUAACAUCAAUUCAUUUUAAACAAUGGGAAAAUUGAGGUGGUUUUACAACAGGCCAAAACAUUUCUAUAUGUUCAAACGUGAAUUAACAUUUGAUCUUUAAAUUCAAAAUUCAGUGUUUUCUGGAAAGGUCCUGUUUCUUCUUUUGGUAUCAACUUGAAGUAUGUUUAUCAAAUUAUCAAGAACAUAACAAUGAUCAAAGUUUCUGGGCAAAUGUAAUUUGCACUUGAAUUUGUUAAUCAAAAUGCAUUGUGAGAACAGAAUAUCCUUGGGCUUCUGGAUUACCAUCUCAGUAUUCUCUUGUUUAAGUAGACUUUCAGUAUUUGUUUGAGAGUUUGAAAAGUUCACUUGAAAAUCACAUAGUUUGUACCAAAAUUGAUUCUAGAUGAUACGUUAUUUGAGUCUUCAAAUAUUAUAUCUUGGAACAGACAAUUUGGGAUCAAUUGAAGUUUACAACUGUGACCUUUAAAAUUGACACUGUUAGAGCUGCUUGUUGUUUAAUAGUCUUGUCUUAUUUACCCCAGUACACUCUUAUUGUGAGUUUUGAUUAUUCCUGGACACAAAUAAAAUGGAUUUGUUGAGGAACAAGGCAGUUCUAUACAGUGCUGACUUAUAGGGGGGGUUGUGUUCUUCAGUUGUUCUUGGAUUCUUUUGGCAAACAGAUUAUUGUUUUUAACAACACAUUUGAACUUUGGAACAAACUUUGUGAUAUUAAAAUAUACUUUUCCAACUUUAAAACAAAUAUUUGACAUUACAAAGUGGAACUUGUUUGUAUGUGGAUGAACUGAAGCUGCAAGUUGGAAAAUGUCAGACAGCACUGAUAAUUUACUAAAUUCCAAAACAAUUUUUCAAGUCGAGAUUGUCUUGUUGGCAGAUUGACAUUAAAUCACAAUGUGCGACACCUCUCAGAAAUCUAUCUAUAUUUGACAUACUGGUACACGGGAAAUUUUUACUUUUGGAUUUUGCUGCCAGGAAGAGAAAUAUAUUUUCUAGUCCUGUGAAGCAGCAAACUAUGUACAAUAUUGGGGUAGCAUGAGCUAGAUUGUAAAAUGAAAAGAAAACCACAACCAGUCAACACAAUGGUGUUCUUUGGAAUAUGUUUUGCACUAUAACAAAGAAAAGAAAAACAAUAAAACAGUCAAAAGUAAAUUGUCUGGUAAAAAUAUGUUACAUAAUACACGGUACAUGUUUAUAUGCAUGAUGAUUUCAAACAUCAGUACGUUCAGCCAUUAGAGUUUCAAUAAUUCUUAAACAAAUUAAGUUCACACUUAAUGUAACAAUUUGGGAUGAACAAUCACAUUGAGGUGCAUCGAUACUGAAGAUAAGAUCGGCUGUCUUUGUGUUACGUGUGCAAAGACAAAGUUGAUCCUUAUGUAAUGAAAUUGAUUUAAUUUUGUAUGUUUGUUUCCUUGGCUUCAGUUCAACUUCAAAUAGUUCCACUUUGUAACAGUAUGUUAUAAUAGUCAUAAUAAUAAUAAUAUAAGAAAACAGGUUUACGUGGCAUUUGAACAUGGUCUUUUAAAGGUAAAGGUGAGUUUAUACUUCAAAGAGAUCUGUUUUUAACCUGACAACAAAAGUGUCCAAAAUUUACUAAAAUUAAUCUUUCUGAGCUUUUUUGCUUUAUGAAUAUAUUGAGGAAUAAAUUUCAUUUGUUUAAUUGAUAACCGAUACAAUGCGGUUUUUUUAUAUUUGUGUUUGGUUUGUUUUAGUGUUGAUACUACACAUUGAUGAAAAUGCAAUGUAAUAUAGGAUUGUAUAGAAAUUGUUUAUCAGAAAUUGUUUCAAUUUCAGAAAUUGUAUAGAAAAUUAGAAAUUGUUUUUCAGAAAUACUGUAAUCUGUAUAUUUAGUGGCCAAAACUGUCGCAUUUGCCUAUUUUUGAGAAACUUUAGCAAUGUCUACCUAAAACUUAGCUUGUGUUUUAAGUUAUACGUAUUAAUCGGUAAACUUUUUCCAAUUGAGGCGUUUGCCUUUUGAUCAAUAUAAAGAAAUUAUUGAAAAAGAAAUAAAAUAUUAUCUGAGGACUUGGUUCAACCAUACCUCGUGUGUUUCUACACACACUAUGGUAUUUACAUACAUGAUUAACAUUUCCAUUUUUAGCGCGAGUAGGAAUAUGUGUAUAGAUUGUAAAACAGAACCAAUUUUUUCACGAGUGAAAUUUACGGUUUGUUUCUGAGAGGAAAAAUCAAUGUGUAUAUCGUUUAAUUGUAUUUACCAAGUGUCUAGAAAUAUACCACUUUUUUAUGUUCAGUUUUCAUAAGCAGAGCAAUUUUUUCCCCAAAAUCAAUCAAAAUUGAAAUAUAGCAUUUUAAAAAUUUUGUUGAACUGCAUUUUCAUCACUUGAAUUAGUAUUAACAUUUAUAUAAUCAAUUAAAAGUUGUCAGGUUAAAAAUACGCUUAAAGAUAUAUAUGGCUCUAAAAGACUGCAUGGGAAAAUUUCAAAUUUUUUAAUGUUUUUUUUUUGUUUUUGUUUUUUUCAUUUGAAAAAGCUUUUCGUCGUGAUAUUUCCUUAUUUACAGACUUGUAUAUUCAGUUGAGUAUGGAGCUAAUGUCUAAUCGCAAUGUUCGUUAAAAAUAUAAUUUCUGGGUUUAAAUGAUGUAUGCUGUCGAUGCAUUGUCAAAAUGUUAAGGCAUUUUGUGGAAAUUAAUUUGCUUCUAGCAAUGAAAUUUUGUUGUUUAAGACAAUGUCUUGCUAACCACUUAACAAUUGAUCUCAGAUGCAUUAUGACGAAUCGACUUCUCUUACUUAGGAUCUAAACAUCGCGAUAAAAGCAUUACUUUCCAUACUCAAGUGAGAAUUUCGAUCAUGCACUUAACCAAAAACACUUCGUAUCCAAAAAAAGUUGAAGAAUGUAGAGUUUGCUUUGUCUUCGAGCCAUAUAUAUUUUUGUAAUUGUGAAACAACUCUGUUACCUUUAGAUUUUCCCGUCAAACCCAUAAAAUUUAUAAUUAUUUAUCUUGAAGUAUAAACUUUUAUCUUGAAAAGACCAAGUUCUCUUGUUUCUUCAUGAAUUAACUUUUCAAUGUUAAUUCACGGGUAAACAUGUUUAAUGUUGUGUUUAUGCACUUAUGUUGAACACAAUGUUAAUUGUUCUCCUUGUGCCAUGUUCUGUUUUCUUCUAUUGUUAUUUAAAUAAGUACAGUAUGCUGUGGUUGUUCUCUUUUUAUUGUUAUUCAAAUUGUAAAAUUUACAAGUUCUUUUCAAUAAAUUGUCAUUAAUUAUACAAGAGACUCCCUUUUUAAUUAAAAGUUCAAUUCCCAUGGGAAUUGAAAAAAAAAAAAAAAAAAAUCCCCCUACCCCGGCCGGCUCCCCAAGUGCUACCUCUACUUCAAGCAGAAGCACUUCUACUUAAAGUAGAGGCAGCACUCGGAGAGCCAGCCGGGGUAGCGGGGCGAAGAGAAGACCAACCUUGCAAAUGCAAAUUGCUAAGUUGAUCUUCUCUUGAGAGCAGCCACGCGCAUAUCUAUAGCAAAUUAAAACAAAACAAGCAUAUUAGUAACAAAUACUCGGCAUGCAAAUUUUGAAUCCCAUGGCUGAAAUGACAAGCCCCCCACUGAUUCCUAACCAACUGCCUCAGUCCUAAGCUGUCUGCCUCAGUCCUAAGCUGUCUGCCUCGGUCCUAAGCUGUCUGCCUCGGUCCUAAGCUACCUGCAUUCCAUUCGUAACUUCCGCUUUCCUCAACAUCACACAGACACUCGCAACUGCCCAACCUGCCACCAGCCCGAACUGCCCACCCUUCGAAAACUGAAGGAAUUAAAAUUUCGGUAAAGUAUACUUAAUUUAUUUGAGUAAUUUGGAUAUUUUAGGCCAAACAUAAACAGAUAAAUUAAAGGUUGACGAUUACAAAAGACCGCGUAUACAAAUAAGGUGAGUUGCUUACUUGCCUCGCUUGUACAUGAAAUUUACUUUCCAAAAUAUACGAAAGUGACGAAACGUCUUAUCCCGCAUGUUUUUGCUCCAAAUAUUUUGAUACGGCAGAAUAAAUUUAGUUUAAAUAAUAAAACUGGAUAAAUUUUCGUGAUUUUGAGAUAUUAAAUUUUUUUUAGAAAAGGCACUGGAUUGUUUUUUAACUUACUUUUAGAAAUUUUAAUUCCUUUAGUUUAGCCUAACCCCAUGCAUCCUAUACACACGGCGCACACUCUCGCACUCCAUACAAUUAGCUAAUAAAUUACGUUAUAAACAAAAAAGUAAAAUAAAAAAGAUAAAUUACGUUAUCACUAGCUGUCCUAUAACCCACUUAGACUGAGUUUUGGAUUCGGAUUCGAAACGUAAAACCUUAACUGAAAGGGCAUGGGCUUUGAAUUUUGUCAAUUGUCCGAAGUAUAAAUAUAAACCGUAAACUUACCUAAAACAAAG
rnacentral:lncRNA from 1 species